rnacentral:rRNA from 1 species
CGUAGGGGGCUAGCGUUGUCCGGAUUUAUUGGGCGUAAAGAGCGUGUAGGCGGCCAGGUAGGUCUGCUGUGAAAACUCGAGGCUCAACCUCGAGAUGUCGGCGGAAACCAUCUGGCUAGAGUCCGGAAGAGGGGAGCGGAAUUCCUGGUGUAGCGGUGAAAUGCGCAGAUAUCAGGAGGAACACCCGUGGCGAAGGCGGCUCUCUGGGACGGUACUGACGCUGAGACGCGAAAGCGUGGGGAGCGAACAGGAUUAGAUACCCUGGUAGUCCACGCCGUAAACGAUGGGUGCUAGGUGUGGGUGGUGUCGACUCCAUCCGUGCCGAAGCUAACGCAUUAAGCACCCCGCCUGGGGAGUACGGCCGCAAGGCUA